GUGAAUUGUACAGGAACCUCCCAUUAUAACCUGAAGAUGUUACCAGGUGAAUUGUACAGGAACCUCCCAUUAUAACCUGAAGAUGUUACCAGGUGAAUUGUACAGGAACCUCCCAUUAUAACCUGAAGAUGUUACCAGGUGAAUUGUACAGGAACCUCCCAUUAUAACCUGAAGAUGUUACCAGGUGAAUUGUACAGGAACCUCCCAUUAUAACCUGAAGAUGUUACCAGGUGAAUUGUACAGGAACCUCCCAUUAUAACCUGAAGAUGUUACCAGGUGAAUUGUACAGGAACCUCCCAUUAUAACCUGAAGAUGUUACCAGGUGAAUUGUACAGGAACCUCCCAUUAUAACCUGAAGAUGAUACCAGGUGAAUUGUACAGGAACCUCCCAUUAUAACCUGAAGAUGAUACCAGGUGAAUUGUACAGGAACCUCCCAUUAUAACCUGAAGAUGUUACCAGGUGAAUUGUACAGGAACCUCCCAUUAUAACCUGAAGAUGUUACCAGGUGAAUUGUACAGGAACCUCCCAUUAUAACCUGAAGAUGUUACCAGGUGAAUUGUAUAGGAACCUCCCAUUAUAACCUGAAUAUAUUACCAGGUGAAUUGUACAGGAACAACAUAAAGAGAUAACGUACCCUCUACCUUAACGUCCCCUCUACGUUAAUGUUAUUAACGUCCCCUCUACCUUAACGUCCCCUCUACGGUAACGUCCCCUCUACGGUAACGUCCCCUCUACGGUAACGUCCCCUCUACGGUAACGUCCCCUCUACCUUAACGUCCCCUCUACGGUAACGUCCCCUCUACCUUAACGUCCCCUUUACCUUAACGUCCCCUCUACGGUAUUGUCCCCUCUACGGUAACGUCCCCUCUACGGUAACGUCCCCUCUACGGUAACGUCCCCUCUACCUUAACGUCCCCUCUACGGUAACGUCCCCUCUACCUUAACGUCCCCUCUACCUUAACGUCCCCUCUACCUUAACGUCCCCUCUACCUUAACGUCCCCUCUACCUUAACGUCCC